GGUUUCCAAUUGGUGAGCCGUGGAACCGAGUGCCUGCAUUGUUGAUUCCAGAGGGUUUUACGUGGUUGAGGGGAAGACACUCGAUCGAGAUUUGCACAGGUAAUACUCACUUUAGUCUUUGAUUAUUUAGGGUUUCCAAUUGGUGAGCCGUGGAACCGAGUGCCUGCAUUGUUGAUUCCAGAGGGUUUUACGUGGUUGAGGGGAAGACACUCGAUCGAGAUUUGCACAGGUAAUACUCACUUUAGUCUUUGAUUAUUUAGGGUUUCCAAUUGGUGAGCCGUGGAACCGAGUGCCUGCAUUGUUGAUUCCAGAGGGUUUUACGUGGUUGAGGGGAAGACACUCGAUCGAGAUUUGCACAGGUAAUACUCACUUUAGUCUUUGAUUUACCUAGGCUUCAAUUUGAGAGCCAUAAUGAAGAUUUUUUGUUGCUCCAAAAUGCAGUUUACAUGUUUGUAUUGU
rnacentral:lncRNA from 1 species